AGGAAUGUAUUUAAUUAUAAUAAUUGAUCUGCAAUCAAUAGGUGUUGAGUAAAACCAUUCUUA
rnacentral:tRNA from 1 species